CCCCGGAAGGCGGCGGUAUGGAGAAGAGGCAGAGGUGGGUGCCAAGGAGGAGAUGGAGGCCGGGGCCAGGGUGCUGUGCUUUGUCAACUCUUGCGAGCCCUCCCAGGUCAUCUUCUGCAACCGCAGUCCACGCAUCGUGCUGCCAGUGUGGCUCAACUUUGAUGGCCAGCCGUGGCCCUACUCGACAGCUGCCGCCGGGCACCGGCCACUGCAUCCACAGCUACCGAGGUCACCUUUGGCUCUUCAGAGAUGCAGGGACAUACGAUGGGCUUCUGGUUAACCACACUGAAUUAUUUGUGCCAUCUCUCGAUGUUGAUGGACAGCCUAUUUUUGCUAACAUCACACUGCCAGUGUAUAACCUGAAAGAGCGAUGCCUCCAGGUUGUCCGAAGCUUAGUCAAGCCUGAGAAUUAUAGGAGACUGGACAUCGUCAGAUCACUGCCUGAAGAUCUGGAAGACCACCCAAAUGUGUGGAAAGACCUGGAGCGGCUGACACAGGAGCACACCGAAAAUCAACGGAUGGGAGGAGGAGAUGGAAGAUUUUAAUUGAAACUUGCACUCUUACAUCUCACCUUUUGAUGGUACUGAUGAAUCUUGCUCUGGAUAUAGGACCUGUCACUUACUCUCUGUUUCAAAACGUCUCAUUCUUGGAAUAAAAUAUACUCCAUUGCUUAAAAAUAAAGUAAACUGACUUCAGUAGGCAUUGGAAUGUUUGGGGGCAAACAUCACAAAAGUGUUACUUAAUGCCUGCCCUUUCUAGAAAGUAUUUAUCAGGACCAAGUAGUUGUAUUUUUGCCUCCUAGUAAGUCAGGAAAUUUUUUGUGUAAGGAUAUUUGUAUACGUCAUUCAGUAAGAAUUGCAGCAUAUCCUUUAAUUGUAAGAAAGCAGUGGUUGGUGUAGUUGGUGAUGUGUCUGCCUCCUGCUUGGGGAAGACAGUCUUUCUCAGGCAGGGACAAGUCUUUCUCCUCUUUGAGACCCCAGUGCCUAGCACAUUAUGAGCCUUCAGUUAGUGUUUGUUAGAUGAACAAACCAGUGGAUGCUUUGGUAGAAAGUGCUUGGAGGUUUUGCCUCUUCUUUUGUUGUGAG